rnacentral:rRNA from 1 species
GACGAACGCUGGCGGCGUGCCUAAUACAUGCAAGUCGAACGCUUCUUUCCUCCCGAGUGCUUGCACUCAAUUGGAAAGAGGAGUGGCGGACGGGUGAGUAACACGUGGGUAACCUACCCAUCAGAGGGGGAUAACACUUGGAAACAGGUGCUAAUACCGCAUAACAGUUUAUGCCGCAUGGCAUAAGAGUGAAAGGCGCUUUCGGGUGUCGCUGAUGGAUGGACCCGCGGUGCAUUAGCUAGUUGGUGAGGUAACGGCUCACCAAGGCCACGAUGCAUAGCCGACCUGAGAGGGUGAUCGGCCACACUGGGACUGAGACACGGCCCAGACCCCUACGGGAGGCAGCAGUAGGGAAUCUUCGGCAAUGGACGAAAGUCUGACCGAGCAACGCCGCGUGAGUGAAGAAGGUUUUCGGAUCGUAAAACUCUGUUGUUAGAGAAGAACAAGGACGUUAGUAACUGAACGUCCCCUGACGGUAUCUAACCAGAAAGCCACGGCUAACUACGUG